UUCAUCUUAAUUAUCAAGCUAACUUUAUAUAUAUUGUUAAAGGAAUUUUUUUAUUAAAGAGCAAUGUACUUUGAUUUCUAAUUUCAUUAAAAAAAUGAAUCAAAAGUGUUGUGAAUUCGAACUCAAAUAACAUCAAUAACCUAGAUGUAUGGAACAAGUAUCGAUGACAACCAACAAGAGCAAUUCCCAAUUGCCCUCAUUUCAUCUUUCAAUCUGCUCAAUGAAAUCACUACGAAGGUGUCUAUAUGUGCUUUCCAAACCAAAAAUCUCACCAAAAAACACUUAACUUUUAAAAUUCUUUCUUUUGAUCUCUUGAAAUUACACAACAAAUGAUCGGAAAAAAUGCUUAAAUAUGACUCAUAAACCAAGAGAGACGUCUCGGGCCCGUUUCAUCCGCCUUAGGCCAACGUUCCAUUGGACGCCUCGCGGCCCAAACCACCCACCUCACAUAUGAGGCAACGUAGAAUCAG
rnacentral:lncRNA from 1 species